UUGGCAGGCUCAAAAUCCAUAUUGCCAAAAAAUGCAUCCCCAUCCUAGCUUGAAGAAAUAAAGAGUAAAGAGUGAAAUAACCUUUUCUACAAAAUUACACGUUUCCUCUGAGCUACUGGUAAGAGUUUCACAUCAAUAGCAUAACAUUUGAGGAAAAUAGAGAGGGCAUGCAAAUAUCAGCAGGCUAAUAAUAGGCUUUGCCGUAAAAUGCAUCCCCUGCUAAUAUGGAGAAAUGAAGAGUUAAGAGGGAUUUCACCAUUUCUAUGUAAUGACACUUGUUCUCUGAGUUACUUCUAUAAGUUUCAGUUCAACAGGACAACAGACAGGCAAUACAAAUAUUGGCAAUCUCAGAAAUUAAAAUGCAUCCCCCCUACAUUAAUAGACUAGACAGUAAAGGAUGAUAUAAAAUGUUCCACAUAAUGGGCCUCGGUUUUGUAAUGCUUUAAGCUAUUAUGGUGUUCAAAGAAAAAUUGGGGAAUUUCAAACCAUCUGUGGAGAACAUUUUCAUCAGAUACUGACUGAAAAACGUUUGACUCAUAUGUCUCAAUAAAGGUGUAAAAACCGUAUUUAUUUCAAUAAAUCUGCGAAAUAAAACCCUCUGUUUUAGGGCUUACAUAGUUAGACUUAGACUUAUUUUAUUGUCAUUUCUCAAAGAAACAUAAGUAAAAUUGGCAAUGAAAUGUCAUCGCUUGGCCACUGGAGCACACACAGAAACACAAGUGUGCCUAUAAUUACAUAAUAAACAAAUAAUAAUGUAUUGCUAAAUAUAUAUAUAACUUAGUAUUUUCAAGCAGUCUGAGACAGUUUUAGUGAUGGGAUUGUUGAGCAAUCUGAUGGCCAGUGGGAGACAACUAUUUCUGUUCUGCAGCGGAUGCUACGGAAUCUCCUGCCAGAUGCCAACAGGAUGAACAGACCAGGGAGAGGAUGGAUAAGAAACCUGAUAAUGUUACGAGUAUCUUUAAAAGUUUCGUCUUCGGUCAUAUUUCAGUCCGUUUUCUCAUCUAUAUGCGAGAGUUUAGAGCAGGGGGUGUCAA